rnacentral:rRNA from 1 species
UUAAGCGACCAAGCGUACACGGUGGAUGCCCUGGCAGUCAGAGGCGAUGAAGGACGUGCUAAUCUGCGAAAAGCGCCGGUAAGGUGAUAUGAACCGUUAUAACCGGCGAUGUCCGAAUGGGGAAACCCAGUGUGACUCGUCACACUAUCAUUAACUGAAUCCAUAGGUUAAUGAGGCGAACCGGGGGAACUGAAACAUCUAAGUACCCCGAGGAAAAGAAAUCAACCGAGAUUCCCCCAGUAGCGGCGAGCGAACGGGGAGGAGCCCAGAGCCUGAAUCAGCAUGUGUGUUAGUGGAAGCGUCUGGAAAGGCGCGCGAUACAGGGUGAGAGCCCCGUACACAAAAGCGCAUAUGCUGUGAGCUCGAUGAGUAGGGCGGGACACGUGGUAUCCUGUCUGAAUAUGGGGGGACCAUCCUCCAAGGCUAAAUACUCCUGACUGACCGAUAGUGAACCAGUACCGUGAGGGAAAGGCGAAAAGAACCCCGGCGAGGGGAGUGAAACAGAACCUGAAACCGUGUACGUACAAGCAGUGGGAGCCUCUCUUUAUGGGGGGUGACUGCGUACCUUUUGUAUAAUGGGUCAGCGACUUAUAUUCUGUAGCAAGGUUAACCGCAUAGGGGAGCCGAAGGGAAACCGAGUCUUAAUUGGGCGUUAAGUUGCAGGGUAUAGACCCGAAACCCGGUGAUCUAGCCAUGGGCAGGUUGAAGGUUGGGUAACACUAACUGGAGGACCGAACCGACUAAUGUUGAAAAAUUAGCGGAUGACCUGUGGCUGGGGGUGAAAGGCCAAUCAAACCGGGAGAUAGCUGGUUCUCCCCGAAAGCUAUUUAGGUAGCGCCUCGUGAACUCAUCUCCGGGGGUAGAGCACUGUUUCGGCUAGGGGGCCAUCCCGGCUUACCAACCCGAUGCAAACUGCGAAUACCGGAGAAUGUUAUCACGGGAGACACACGGCGGGUGCUAACGUCCGUCGUGAAGAGGGAAACAACCCAGACCGCCAGCUAAGGUCCCAAAGUCAUGGUUAAGUGGGAAACGAUGUGGGAAGGCCCAGACAGCCAGGAUGUUGGCUUAGAAGCAGCCAUCAUUUAAAGAAAGCGUAAUAGCUCACUGGUCGAGUCGGCCUGCGCGGAAGAUGUAACGGGGCUAAACCAUGCACCGAAGCUGCGGCAGCGACACUUUAGUGUUGUUGGGUAGGGGAGCGUUCUGUAAGCCGUUGAAGGUGUCCUGUGAGGGGUGCUGGAGGUAUCAGAAGUGCGAAUGCUGACAUAAGUAACGAUAAAGCGGGUGAAAAGCCCGCUCGCCGGAAGACCAAGGGUUCCUGUCCAACGUUAAUCGGGGCAGGGUGAGUCGACCCCUAAGGCGAGGCCGAAAGGCGUAGUCGAUGGGAAACGGGUUAAUAUUCCCGUACUUGGUGUUACUGCGAAGGGGGGACGGAGAAGGCUAUGUUGGCCGGGCGACGGUUGUCCCGGUUUAAGCGUGUAGGCUGGUUUUCCAGGCAAAUCCGGAAAAUCAAGGCUGAGGCGUGAUGACGAGGCACUACGGUGCUGAAGCAACAAAUGCCCUGCUUCCAGGAAAAGCCUCUAAGCAUCAGGUAACAUCAAAUCGUACCCCAAACCGACACAGGUGGUCAGGUAGAGAAUACCAAGGCGCUUGAGAGAACUCGGGUGAAGGAACUAGGCAAAAUGGUGCCGUAACUUCGGGAGAAGGCACGCUGACACGUAGGUGAAGUGAUUUACUCAUGGAGCUGAAGUCAGUCGAAGAUACCAGCUGGCUGCAACUGUUUAUUAAAAACACAGCACUGUGCAAACACGAAAGUGGACGUAUACGGUGUGACGCCUGCCCGGUGCCGGAAGGUUAAUUGAUGGGGUCAGCGCAAGCGAAGCUCCUGAUCGAAGCCCCGGUAAACGGCGGCCGUAACUAUAACGGUCCUAAGGUAGCGAAAUUCCUUGUCGGGUAAGUUCCGACCUGCACGAAUGGCGUAAUGAUGGCCAGGCUGUCUCCACCCGAGACUCAGUGAAAUUGAACUCGCUGUGAAGAUGCAGUGUACCCGCGGCAAGACGGAAAGACCCCGUGAACCUUUACUAUAGCUUGACACUGAACAUUGAGCCUUGAUGUGUAGGAUAGGUGGGAGGCUUUGAAGCGUGGACGCCAGUCUGCGUGGAGCCGACCUUGAAAUACCACCCUUUAAUGUUUGAUGUUCUAACGUGGACCCGUAAUCCGGGUUGCGGACAGUGUCUGGUGGGUAGUUUGACUGGGGCGGUCUCCUCCUAAAGAGUAACGGAGGAGCACGAAGGUUGGCUAAUCCUGGUCGGACAUCAGGAGGUUAGUGCAAUGGCAUAAGCCAGCUUGACUGCGAGCGUGACGGCGCGAGCAGGUGCGAAAGCAGGUCAUAGUGAUCCGGUGGUUCUGAAUGGAAGGGCCAUCGCUCAACGGAUAAAAGGUACUCCGGGGAUAACAGGCUGAUACCGCCCAAGAGUUCAUAUCGACGGCGGUGUUUGGCACCUCGAUGUCGGCUCAUCACAUCCUGGGGCUGAAGUAGGUCCCAAGGGUAUGGCUGUUCGCCAUUUAAAGUGGUACGCGAGCUGGGUUUAGAACGUCGUGAGACAGUUCGGUCCCUAUCUGCCGUGGGCGCUGGAAGACUGAGGGGGGCUGCUCCUAGUACGAGAGGACCGGAGUGGACGCAUCACUGGUGUUCGGGUUGUCAUGCCAAUGGCACUGCCCGGUAGCUAAAUGCGGAAAAGAUAAGUGCUGAAAGCAUCUAAGCACGAAACUUGCCCCGAGAUGAGUCUUCCCUGAGACUUUGAGUCUCCUGAAGGAACGUUAAAGACGAUGACGUUGAUAGGCCGGGUGUGUAAGCGCAGCGAUGCGUUGAGCUAACCGGUACUAAUGAACCGUGAGGCUUAACCUU